rnacentral:lncRNA from 1 species
AAAAGAAUAGAGGUAAUAAAGGAGGUUUUAUGUCUUCAAUGGGCUCUGGAAGAAUUGAGAGCAGCUUUAAUGAUAUGAGCAUUUCCAGUGGCGGAGGAGGUGGUUUUGGGAGUGGAUCUGGGUUUGGAUUGACCAGUGAUGUUGACUCAUUUUCCAGCAAGCCUAAAGGUUUGUUUCUGCAUUUCUGGGCCAACUAUAGACAUUGCUUCUGAUUUUGAUAACUAGCAGAUUAGAUUUGUCUGGUAGAUGUAAGUAUGAUUUGUAAUAACUCUUAAAAGUUUCUAAGAAAAAAUGUUUUACACUUGAACUUCUUGACCGUUUGAAAUUUUUUAACGAGGUUAUAAAUCCUCAUCUAAUUAAUUCUGUUUGCUGCAACCUAUUUUUGAACAUUAUUAUUUGAAUUGUCUCUGGAAAAUAUGGUUUCAAUUAUUGGGGAGUUUACUUUUGAUUGCAUAUAUCUGGCAUCACCAGGUCGUCAACCUUCAUCUGCCACUGCUCCUCCCAAAGGCCUUGGCAUGAAGCUCGGCAAAACCCAAAGAACAAACCAGUUUUUGGAAUCCUUGAAAGCAGAAGGUGAAAUGAUCGUUGAAGAUGUGCAGCCAUCAAAGUCAACCCAGUAUACAUCAGCUGCUCAAAAACUAACUGAUCCUGUCACUUUGACUGCUGAGGAGAAACUCAAUGUCACUCUAAAACGGGAUGGUGGAAUGAGUCACUUUGAUGUUCAAG